rnacentral:rRNA from 1 species
ACUCCUACGGGAGGCAGCAGUGAGGAAUAUUGGACAAUGGUCGGAAGACUGAUCCAGCCAUGCCGCGUGCAGGAAGACUGCCCUAUGGGUUGUAAACUGCUUUUAUACAGGAAGAAUAAGCUCUACGAGUAGAGUGAUGACGGUACUGUAAGAAUAAGCAUCGGCUAACUCCGUGCCAGCAGCCGCGGUAAUACGGAGGGUGCGAGCGUUAAUCGGAAUUACUGGGCGUAAAGCGCAUGCAGGUGGUUUGUUAAGUCAGAUGUGAAAGCCCGGGGCUCAACCUCGGAAUUGCAUUUGAAACUGGCAGACUAGAGUACUGUAGAGGGGGGUAGAAUUUCAGGUGUAGCGGUGAAAUGCGUAGAGAUCUGAAGGAAUACCGGUGGCGAAGGCGGCCCCCCUGGACAGAUACUGACACUCAGA